GCCGGGCGCAGUGGUGUUUGCCUGUAGUCCCCGCUACUUGGGAGGCUGAGGCUGGAGGAUUGCUGGAGUCCAGGAGUUCUGGGCUGAAGUGCACUAUGCUGAUUGGGUGUCCGCACUAAGUUCGGCAUCAAUAUGGUGACCUCCUGGGAGCAGGGGACCAACAGGUUGCCUAAGGAGAGGUGAACCGGCCCAGGUCGGAAACAGAGCAGGUCAAAACUCCCAUGUAGAUCAGUAGUGGGAUCACGCCUGUGAAGAGCCACUGCACUCCAGCCUGGGCAACAUAGCAAGAACCCAUCUCU
rnacentral:SRP_RNA from 1 species